rnacentral:lncRNA from 1 species
UAAGUAUCAAGUUUCCAUUGCUUCUAGGAUUCUGAGGUUACUAGAGAAUAUUGAGGAGGUGGAAAGGAAAAAAAGUGGCAGUGGAGAGGGUUCUCUAAGUGAUAUAUAAUUACCUGCUUCACAUACUUUAUUAUCUGUAUUAUUAUUUGACAUGUAUUGUAUGAAAAGUGCUGAAGAGCAAUGUUGCUCAAUCUUUAAUGUGCAUAUGAAGCACCUGGGAUCUUAUUAAAAUGAAGGUUCUGACUCAGUAAGUUAGGAGUGAGGCUGGAUAUUCUACAUUUCUAAUAAGCUCCCAGGUGAUGUUGAUGCUGCUGGUCCACAGAUUGCACUUUGAGAAGCAAUAAAGGAUGCAAAAGAUUCAUGAGAUAUAGUCUCUAAUUCUCAUGAAGUUCACAGUCUCAUAGGAGGUACAGACCUAAACUGGAAGAAGACAAAUAAAGGCAGCAAAGGCUGAAGACUGCAGUGAGUGCUGAACACCAAGCAGCCUUGAGGUCUUAGCAGAAAAUGUGCAUCAUGGAUGCGUUUCAAAACCUUACUUCAAGUGCCUUAAGAAAGUAACGUAAAAGAAAUCAGGAGGACCUGCAAGAAAUCAUUCAGUGGGUCCCAAAAGGAAUUAAACAUAUUCUCCCAGAUUUCUGGCCCCUUUCCUGCUCAUUUUCUUAGCAUAGUGGAAGAAUUAGGACUUUGUUUACUACCAGCAUACUUCUGCUUUCUUGUCCCAGAGACAGCAGUAAAGGAAGAUGGACCCCAGAGAUAGAAACAUGGAAAAUGCUUACUUCCUUUUGGUUUCUGAAAACAGCUUCCUAGACUGGGUUAACAAUGUCAAAGCUGUACUUUCAAAAGGCAGCUUUACAAACCUGGAUAUCUUUGCAAUGAACCUGCAAGAUCACAGGAUGGAACCGCAUUGGGAUAUCUUCCUGUGAGUGUGUAUGAGGAAGUCACUCUCAGAACAUCUGCUUCGAGGAAAUAUACGCAAUAGCUGGACUAACCUGCAGCCAAGAGGUGAACAAUCUUCUUGCUAAAGGAGUUUUCUCUGAAUUUCAUCGAGAUCUGACUAUUUCUCAGAAAGAAGAUUCUGUCUCAGUGUUGCUCCCUUGUCUUUUUUCCCAAAUUGAUGAUAUUACGGUGACAGAUUGCACUCUACAGAAGGAAACACAUGGGAUUUGGAAGAACUCCAGGCUUUAGGCUUUGGGCAAUGCCUCCUAAGUCCAGGUUUCUCAUUUAUAAAAAAAAGGAUAAUAAAAUCGAU